GAUGAACGCUGACAGAAUGCUUAACACAUGCAAGUCAACUUGAAUUUGGGUUUUUUAACUUAGAUUUGGGUGGCGGACGGGUGAGUAACGCGUAAAGAACUUGCCUCACAGCUAGGGACAACAUUUGGAAACGAAUGCUAAUACCUGAUAUUAUGAUUAUAAGGCAUCUUAGCAUUAUGAAAGCUAUAUGCGCUGUGAGAGAGCUUUGCGUCCCAUUAGCUAGUUGGAGAGGUAACGGCUCACCAAGGCGAUGAUGGGUAGCCGGCCUGAGAGGGUGAACGGCCACAAGGGGACUGAGACACGGCCCUUACUCCUACGGGAGGCAGCAGUGGGGAAUAUUGGACAAUGGACCAAGAGUCUGAUCCAGCAAUUCUGUGUGCACGAUGACGUUUUUCGGAAUGUAAAGUGCUUUCAGUUGGGAAGAAAAAAAUGACGGUACCAACAGAAGAAGUGACGGCUAAAUACGUG
rnacentral:rRNA from 1 species